CUGGAAUUCUGCCCAAAAUUGUAAGCAACUCUGAGAUUAUUGGAAAUGUUGGGAAGGGGUGGCCAGUUACUGGUCUUCCAAUUGCAGGAUGUCUUGGUGACCAGCAUGCUGCAAUGUUAGGACAAGCAUGUAGAAAGGGUGAGGCCAAAAGCACAUAUGGAACUGGUGCUUUCAUACUUCUCAACACCGGCGAGGAUGUAAUUCAGUCAAAGCAUGGGCUUCUAACCACUCUGGCUUUUAAGCUUGGCCCAAAAGCACCUACUAAUUAUGCUUUAGAGGGUUCCAUUGCUAUUGCUGGAGCUGCAGUUCAGUGGCUUAGAGAUAGUCUUGGGAUAAUUAGUAGUGCAAGUGAGAUUGAGGAACUUGCAAAGCAGGUUGAGUCAACUGGUGGCGUGUAUUUUGUGCCUGCUUUUAAUGGACUGUUUGCUCCAUGGUGGCGUGAUGAUGCUCGUGGGGUUUGCAUUGGGAUCACAAGGUUUACAAAUAAGGCUCACAUUGCUCGUGCUGUACUUGAAAGCAUGUGUUUUCAAGUUAAAGAUGUGUUGGAGUCAAUGCACAAAGAUGCAGGGGAGAAAGGUGAACAUAGGAAUGCAAAGGGGGAGUUCUUGCUUAGAGUGGAUGG
rnacentral:misc_RNA from 1 species